rnacentral:rRNA from 1 species
GGGUUGUGAGGUUAAGCGACUAAGCGUACACGGUGGAUGCCCUGGCAGUCAGAGGCGAUGAAGGACGUGCUAAUCUGCGAAAAGCGUCGGUAAGGUGAUAUGAACCGUUAUAGCCGGCGAUGUCCGAAUGGGGAAACCCAGUGUGAUUCGUCACACUAUCGUUAACUGAAUACAUAGGUUAACGAGGCGAACCGGGGGAACUGAAACAUCUAAGUACCCCGAGGAAAAGAAAUCAACCGAGAUUCCCCCAGUAGCGGCGAGCGAACGGGGAGCAGCCCAGAGUCUGAAUCAGCUUGUGUGUUAGUGGAACGGUCUGGAAAGUCCGACGGUACAGGGUGAUAGUCCCGUACACCAAAAUGCACAGGCUGUGAACUCGAAGAGUAGGGCGGGACACGUGGUAUCCUGUCUGAAUAUGGGGGGACCAUCCUCCAAGGCUAAAUACUCCUGACUGACCGAUAGUGAACCAGUACCGUGAGGGAAAGGCGAAAAGAACCCCGGCGAGGGGAGUGAAAAAGAACCUGAAACCGUGUACGUACAAGCAGUGGGAGCACCUUCGGGUGUGACUGCGUACCUUUUGUAUAAUGGGUCAGCGACUUAUAUUCUGUAGCAAGGUUAACCGUAUAGGGGAGCCGCAGGGAAACCGAGUCUUAACUGGGCGUUAAGUUGCAGGGUAUAGACCCGAAACCCGGUGAUCUAGCCAUGGGCAGGUUGAAGGUUGGGUAACACUAACUGGAGGACCGAACCGACUAAUGUUGAAAAAUUAGCGGAUGACUUGUGGCUGGGGGUGAAAGGCCAAUCAAACCGGGAGAUAGCUGGUUCUCCCCGAAAGCUAUUUAGGUAGCGCCUCGUGAACUCAUCUUCGGGGGUAGAGCACUGUUUCGGCUAGGGGGUCAUCCCGACUUACCAACCCGAUGCAAACUACGAAUACCGAAGAAUGUUAUCACGGGAGACACACGGCGGGUGCUAACGUCCGUCGUGAAGAGGGAAACAACCCAGACCGCCAGCUAAGGUCCCAAAGUCAUGGUUAAGUGGGAAACGAUGUGGGAAGGCACAGACAGCCAGGAUGUUGGCUUAGAAGCAGCCAUCAUUUAAAGAAAGCGUAAUAGCUCACUGGUCGAGUCGGCCUGCGCGGAAGAUGUAACGGGGCUAAACCAUGCACCGAAGCUGCGGCAGCGACACUAUGUGUUGUUGGGUAGGGGAGCGUUCUGUAAGCCUGCGAAGGUGUGCUGUGAGGCAUGCUGGAGGUAUCAGAAGUGCGAAUGCUGACAUAAGUAACGAUAAAGCGGGUGAAAAGCCCGCUCGCCGGAAGACCAAGGGUUCCUGUCCAACGUUAAUCGGGGCAGGGUGAGUCGACCCCUAAGGCGAGGCCGAAAGGCGUAGUCGAUGGGAAACAGGUUAAUAUUCCUGUACUUGGUGUUACUGCGAAGGGGGGACGGAGAAGGCUAUGUUAGCCGGGCGACGGUUGUCCCGGUUUAAGCAUGUAGGCUGGUUGUCCAGGCAAAUCCGGAUAAUCAAGGCUGAGGUGUGAUGACGAGGUACUACGGUGCUGAAGUAACAAAUGCCCUGCUUCCAGGAAAAGCCUCUAAGCAUCAGGUAACAUCAAAUCGUACCCCAAACCGACACAGGUGGUCAGGUAGAGAAUACCAAGGCGCUUGAGAGAACUCGGGUGAAGGAACUAGGCAAAAUGGUGCCGUAACUUCGGGAGAAGGCACGCUGGUGUGUAGGUGAAGUCCCUGCGGAUGGAGCUGAGACCAGUCGAAGAUACCAGCUGGCUGCAACUGUUUAUUAAAAACACAGCACUGUGCAAACACGAAAGUGGACGUAUACGGUGUGACGCCUGCCCGGUGCCGGAAGGUUAAUUGAUGGGGUUAUCCGUAAGGAGAAGCUCUUGAUCGAAGCCCCGGUAAACGGCGGCCGUAACUAUAACGGUCCUAAGGUAGCGAAAUUCCUUGUCGGGUAAGUUCCGACCUGCACGAAUGGCGUAAUGAUGGCCAGGCUGUCUCCACCCGAGACUCAGUGAAAUUGAACUCGCUGUGAAGAUGCAGUGUACCCGCGGCAAGACGGAAAGACCCCGUGAACCUUUACUAUAGCUUGACACUGAACAUUGAGCCUUGAUGUGUAGGAUAGGUGGGAGGCUUUGAAGCGUGGACGCCAGUCUGCGUGGAGCCAACCUUGAAAUACCACCCUUUAAUGUUUGAUGUUCUAACGUUGGCCCCUUACCGGGGUUGCGGACAGUGUCUGGUGGGUAGUUUGACUGGGGCGGUCUCCUCCCAAAGCGUAACGGAGGAGCACGAAGGUUAGCUAAUCCUGGUCGGACAUCAGGAGGUUAGUGCAAUGGCAUAAGCUAGCUUGACUGCGAGCGUGACGGCGCGAGCAGGUGCGAAAGCAGGUCAUAGUGAUCCGGUGGUUCUGAAUGGAAGGGCCAUCGCUCAACGGAUAAAAGGUACUCCGGGGAUAACAGGCUGAUACCGCCCAAGAGUUCAUAUCGACGGCGGUGUUUGGCACCUCGAUGUCGGCUCAUCACAUCCUGGGGCUGAAGUAGGUCCCAAGGGUAUGGCUGUUCGCCAUUUAAAGUGGUACGCGAGCUGGGUUUAGAACGUCGUGAGACAGUUCGGUCCCUAUCUGCCGUGGGCGCUGGAGAAUUGAGGGGGGCUGCUCCUAGUACGAGAGGACCGGAGUGGACGCAUCACUGGUGUUCGGGUUGUCAUGCCAAUGGCACUGCCCGGUAGCUAAAUGCGGAAGAGAUAAGUGCUGAAAGCAUCUAAGCACGAAACUUGCCCCGAGAUGAGUUCUCCCUGAGACUUUAAGUCUCCUGAAGGAACGUUAAAGACGAUGACGUUGAUAGGCCGGGUGUGUAAGCGCAGCGAUGCGUUGAGCUAACCGGUACUAAUGAACCGUGAGGCUUAACCUUACAACGCCGAAG